rnacentral:rRNA from 1 species
GAUUGAACGCUGGCGGCAUGCCUUACACAUGCAAGUCGAACGGUAACAGGUCUUCGGAUGCUGACGAGUGGCGAACGGGUGAGUAAUACAUCGGAACGUGCCCGAUCGUGGGGGAUAACGGAGCGAAAGCUUUGCUAAUACCGCAUACGAUCUACGGAUGAAAGCAGGGGACCGCAAGGCCUUGCGCGGACGGAGCGGCCGAUGGCAGAUUAGGUAGUUGGUGGGAUAAAAGCUUACCAAGCCGACGAUCUGGAGCUGGUCUGAGAGGACGACCAGCCACACUGGGACUGAGACACGGCCCAGACUCCUACGGGAGGCAGCAGUGGGGAAUUUUGGACAAUGGGCGAAAGCCUGAUCCAGCCAUGCCGCGUGCAGGAUGAAGGCCUUCGGGUUGUAAACUGCUUUUGUACGGAACGAAAAGACUCUUUCUAAUAAAGAGGGUCCAUGACGGUACCGUAAGAAUAAGCACCGGCUAACUACGUG